AUAACCAUCAUUCAUCAUCCUUUCCUUUCCUCUCUCUCUCUCUCUCUCUCUCAACUGCUUCUAAAUAUAACCAAACUCUUCUCUCUUCUCUCUUCUCUCCAUUAUUAUUUGCUCUUAAAUUCACUCCCAUCUGCCUUCUUCUUCUUUCCAUCUAAUCACUCACUCUUCUCUUCUAUGGCUCUCUCUUUUGCCCUUUCAAGAAGGAAGAAGAACAAGUAAGAAGAAGAAGACGAUGAUGAUGAUGCUCUUUCUUGAAGUCUCAAAGCGUGUUUUCAUGGGGGGUUUCUCAAAGGGUUUCCAACAGAAUUUAUUGGCAUUCUGUCCACCUCCUUCUCUAUAGAAACACACCCAUAAUUUAAGAGGGCUUUGGUUUUUGGAGGUGGGCAUACUGCCAAUUGAGCUCUGUUUGGAUCCUCUUUGUAACACCCUUCUUGAUAUCCUUACAUUUUUAACCUUUCAUUAUUAUUUCAUCUCCCUCCUCAGAUUCUAAACCAUCUGGAAAAUUGAUAGCUAGCAGGGGGAGAAUAUGAAGAAUUAUGAAUUUCAAAAUGGGUAAAAAGCAAUACCGAGUCGUGCAUCACUUCAAUUAUAAAGGAAAAUACAAUUAAUUUUUUUAAGAAGAAGAAAAGUUUUGAGGAAACUGUGACUGGACAUUUGAGUGGCGGCACAAAGAAAGGUGCAUCUGGGGAUUUUCUUAGGUAAAGUAACUUUUUUGUCUCAAAGUUUUGGGUUGAAUUUUCAUUUGUUUCUUAGGUUUCAAAAUGUUACAAUAUUAAUACUUAAGUUUCGAGUUUGGUUUCAACUUAGUUUUAGGUUUCAUAGUGUUAUAAUUUAGUUAUUAAGUUUCAAGAUUUAUACUUUUAACUUCAAUUUUUACUAAAUACUCAAUUUUAAUGUUUAGAGUUAAUAUUUAUUGAUUAAUCGAGGAGAAUCAUAAUUAAUUAAGUUUCACUAUUUUUUCAAACGAUAUUAAAAUUAAUUUAAAAUUUUUAUUUUAUGAUUAUUUUAAAUUAAUUAAUAGACAUUAAUGCUAAAAUUAAAGUGACUAUUUAGUAAAAAAUCGAUGUUAAAAAUAUAAAUCUUGAAAUUUAAGGAUUAAAUUGAAAAAAAAAAAAAAAAAUCACAACUCAAGACUGAAUUAAAGUCAAACCUAAAAUCUAAAAGGUUAUACGUGUAACACUUGGAGAGAAAUUAGUUCCAAAACCAUGUUGUUUUCUUUUGUUAUUUUAAUGACUUCUAAUUAUUUCUUAGGAGUAUUAUAAAUUGAAAAUGAUGUUAUUAAGCACAAUAAAUUAACAUGUAUCUUAAAUUAUUUUUGCAGUUGGAAAAAAAAAAAUAAUUAUGACUUCAAAAUUUAAGAAGCCUCACCAUUCAAAAUUAAAUUCUCCAAGAUGAUUAUGGAGUAGGUUUGAAAAGAUUAUAAACUUUCAUUUAAUGUUCUCGAGAGUAAAAGCUAAAUUUAAAAAUUAAAACAAGUAGUUUUCUAAUAUUUGCUUUUGUGUUUAGAAUUUGAUGAAUAAUUUAAGUGUUUCUUUAAUAAAAGUGAAAUUUAGAAUUGAAAAGUUGGGAAGAAACAAAUAUAAAUUUAAAAACUGAAAACCGAAAAUGUUAUAAAUUAGGGCUAGUAUGGUUAUCAAACGAAGACUAUUUUGUGUAUAUUAACAAGCAAGAAGAUGCAACAAAGGCUACAUUAGCCACUGCCACAUUGGAAGAUGUUACUACCACAUCAAAUUCAAAAAGCUUAGACAACUCAAGGCCACACCAACUUGGCAAAUAACUCAACAUUUGAAUUUUGUGCAGUUCUGAAUUUCUUAAUAUUACCACUCUUCAGCUGUCCUAAAUUAAAUUACUAUAGAAACCAAUAUAGAAAUAAUUUUCAAAUAUUUGGAGAGUGGGUUUGGGAUGAUCUUUGCCACCAAAUAUUUAGGGGACGUUCGGGACAAGAGUUAUCAUUAAAAUAUAAUAAUCACCUCUUGCUAUGAUAAAAACUAUUUCAAAACCUCUCAUUAGCUACCGUCAACACUAUUUCAAAACCCCAAUUUGUUACCGUAUUUACUAUUUAUUACCGUUUUUACUAUUUUACCUUCAUCAUUUUUUUUUCUAUUAUUUGCUAUGGUAUUUACUAUUUUCUUCUCAAACUAAAAUAGUUUACACAUCAAAUACAUAACUAAAGUAAUCUACACCCCAAAUGUAAACUAUCGUAACCCAACUAUAAUAAUCUAGGAUUAUAAUAAUUAACUCAUUGUCCAAAACGCCUUCGUAAAUAUGAUUUUGAUACUAUCUGAUUGUGAAUCACAAAUCAAAUUCACAGCUUGAUAAUUGGUUAAAUGGGGAUGGCAUAGCUACGAGGCAUGCAAUUUGAUAUUAUAUUGUAAUGAACAUCUUCAUACCCUCAUCGAUUAAGAAUGGCAAAUACAAAGGGCGAUUUGUUAUGGGCUUUGAGGUAUUCACCCAAGCCAACCAUUAACUUCAUUUGCCUAUUCACGUACUGGCGAAUUGAGAUUUGGAUGGAGAGCUUCCACAAGGAUCUUGACCAAGUUUAUGAUAGACUUCUAAGUCUUGGCCAACAUAUGAUCAUAUCAAAGUAAAAAUACUUGAUUGCAUUCUAAAUACUAUAUUUAUCUUUGCACAUUUUGUUUAAUUGUUAGAACAAUAUUUUGUCACACGACAAAUUCUUACUUCUUUAUGUGUGAUUAGAAUAAAAUGCAUAUGCUUCCAUUAUUUCUCUGUUUCUACUUAAUUUUGUUACUUUCAUUGUCUGAGAAAACAUAUUGGUAUUCUGGACUCUAGACGAUAGAGAAAAUAAUCCGAUCCUUGAUUAUCUUUCCAUCGAAUAAAGUGAUACGUGUUGGGUUUUUUUUUUUUUUCC